UUUUGAACACCUGAAAAAGAGCUUCAACAAUUCAAGAACACAAGCUAAAAACAAGAUUUUUUUUUUCUCUGUAGUGGCUUUCAAUGCAACGUUUCAAUGAAUUCUUCCUAAAUUAUCAAACCCCACUUGCUAGAUUUGUCACUUCUCGCCAUUCUUGCAGCAAAUUGUUCAUUGGAGGGCUUUGUUAUGAUACGAAUGAACCUGUGCUUAAACAAGCUUUUGAGCAACAUGGUGAAACAAUUGAAGUGAAAGUAAUAUGUGAUCAUAAAAGUGGAAAAUCCAAAGGAUAUGGGUUUGUGAAGUUCACUUCAGAAACUGCAGCUAGCAAGGCCUUGAAGGAAAUGGAUGGUCAAUUAUUGGAUGGAAGAAAUAUUCGCAUCAGUUUUGCCCACAAAGGAUGACGUUGACAGGUUUCAACUCUUUAUCUUUUCUUGUAAGUUUCUAGAUUCUCCACGCGUUGUCAUGUCUUAUUGCUUAUUCCCACACUAGUGUUGAUCUUUGAGUUUGAUAUAUGCUCUCUUAUGCCUCUUCAUUUCAAUAUUGAUUACCUCCAGCUAAAAAUUCUUAAAUGACUCGACAAUUGGUAAGGUUUCAUCUUCUGACUUAGGUGUGUGCAAGAACUUGUGAUUUUCAGCCAUGAAAGAUGUAUUGAAGAUUGUCUUGAUUCGGGAAUUUAGUCGAGGGAGAAACAUCCACCAACCAAAAGGUCUUAUACCAUGAUUCAUUGACUCUGCAUCGCGUGUCAGGCAAGUGAUUACAGCAAGCUGGCAUGACGUUCUGGUGAUAGUUAGCUAGUCGUCUAACAGAUCCUGUUCACAUUCCCCAGUUGUUUGCAAUGGACUCGCGAAGAAGCAUGCAAGCAUUCCAGAUCACCAGGAUUUUGCCUGAGGUAAAAUCAGGACUACUUGGGAGGUCAUAAAAGUGAAUCUUGUCGACGUUGGCUUGAGCCUAGCUUGACGAUUGUAAGUCCUUUGGAGUUUGGACAGGGCUCGAGCCAACGCCUUAAAUGACCUUAAGCUUGAAGGUUGAACAAUCACUACAACUACUUCAUGACCUUUUUUCAAAUUGCCACUGAUUAGUUCAUUCAUUUAUUCGUUGUUUUCGUUCUUUCUUAAAUAUCGUAUUUUGUGUGAUGAAAUUCACUUAAUAUGUACAUAUACUUUAUUUAGAACCUAAUAAAUCGUCUUUACUAAAAA